UUUUCACCACAAUUUUCCACUCGAAUCAAAUCCCCAAAUCAAAAUCCAAAAGCUCUCCCUUCUCUCUACUUUCUCUCUCUACUCAACCUCCAUUGAAGAAACUUUGAAGCUUGAAGAAGAAGAUCAAAUUCUCAAGUUCUUCACUCAAACUGGAGGCUAAAGCCUUGGUUAAGAAUAGAAUCAUUUUGUCCAGAGAGGAUCUAUUCCUUUAAACAUCGGGUACUAGAAUGGGAAAAUUUCCUUAAGGGGACAAUGUCAAAUCAGGGGGCUCGAUUUUUUCCUUCAUGUUUCAUUUUAUUAUUACAGAUCCUGGUAUGUUUAAUACAAUCACUAAUUUAUGCUUAUGUUAUUACUUUUUAUUUUUGAGUACAUGUAUUAAACUUUGUUGUUUAUGUUUAUGAUUUUGAUCAUUGUGUUGAAGUAAACAUAUGUUAAUCAAGAGUUUGAUGUAGUCAUUAGACUAUUGGUUUGAUUUUAAUUGAGUUUUAGUGGCUAAAACAUCCAUGGGAUGUCUACGAAGGGACUUUGAGUUUUCAAAUAUAUGUCGGUUCCACAC